rnacentral:lncRNA from 1 species
ACAUUUGCAGGCUUGAGGAGCAAGGCAUGUGGUGGAAGAGGUCCUAAACAGUAUGCUUGUCAGUUAUAGCUCAAUAAAGAAACAAAGAUCUCAGUAUAUAACACAGCUAUAAUCAUUUGUCAGGUCUCAGACCUGAGACACAGGGCCUCUGCUUCUAGGACAAGGCACACAGCCAUUUGGGUUGACAUGGUCCAUGGUCCAAUGACACCGGCAAAGGAAACAUUCUUUAAAGACCCUCCACCUGGGCUGGGACCUGGUUUAUAUGAGAAAUUCUCUUUCAUGUUUCUUUCCUAAAUUUUUUACAUGAUUAAGGCUCCUCAGGGAACACUGACUAUCUGAAAGGAAAAGAAAAACAUUUAACAAUUCCAAAGGAACCUCUAAGAAAAGUGUUGAUUACAUCAUAAUCACCAUGGUUCCACUAACUCCGGGACAAACUCUUUCGUGCAAAAGACACCAAACUCAUAUUCUUGGUGUAGAUGCCUUUGUGACGCUGCUCACCUUUUCCCCUGAAGGUGUCAAGUGAUCUCUACCAUAAACUCUACCCACCCUUCUGCAUGGCUGCUCAUGUAUCUUGACUAAAUUCUCUCAUCUAAGGCACAAGGGACCAAGGACCCAGCUUCCUCGUGGCAGCAGAGACCCUAGAGAUUAAUAACAAACCCAAAACCUUUUCGGAAACCUGCAGAGUAAUGAGGCCUGAGCUACAUUCUGGGGAUACUUCGGUUGCUUUGAUCAGGCAGAUGGUGUUCAGAAGGUGUGCGCUACAUCUGGGACCAGCAGUGUUCCCCGAUCUUCUCUCUUCACUUCUCCAGGCAGAGUUUUCAUAAGGACAGCUUGGAGCUCAGGGACCCCAGAGUAUCCUGGCGACUGUGCUGGUAGAGAAGGGGAAGAAGAAAUGCUGUGUGUUAUUGCUCACCUGGAUCUGUGAAUUAGUGGCCCUGUGGUCUACAAGGCUUGCAGGAGAGAAAACUUGGGUACACGUUCAGCAGAAAUUGAGGAGAAGGAUUUUGGGAUACUCCAGAUUCAAUAAAACAAGCAGUACUUUGGUACCUGGAAAUUGUUCGGAGCCCUCGG